rnacentral:lncRNA from 1 species
UCCUUUUAAGUUUUAUUUAUAUUUCUUAGUUCAAGAAUUACACACUAGCCAACAUUAUUGUAUAUUUACAUGCUGAAACUGGCUGUAAUAAGUUUAAAGUCAAGAAAAUAAUUCUUAUGUGCUAUUCAUUUAUAUUCCUCAUUUGUUACGAUCUCAUGUAUCCCAGAGAUUUUAAUAGUCCUGUUUUUAGAAAGACAUGAAAAUAGAUGCAAUGAAAUCCACUUGUGUUUUGCAUUUUCUAGCCAUUGGAAAAUGUGCAUUAUGUGCAUAUUAAGAAAGGCUACAAGGUCAUUAGUAAGGCUGAUAAUCACUACAUUGUGAAGAAACUAGAAUAUCACUUUUUAUAAAAGGACAAUUCAGAACUGUGCAGGGACAAUAUUCAUAACAGAAGUAUUUAAACACCCAUGCAAAUAAAAAUACAAAAUGUUAUGGAAUUUAAAUUAUUUGCAACUUUGUUUGAAUGAAUUAUGUUUAAAAUGACCAUCAUUGAACUCAAAUUAUUGAACUGAAAAGGGAAAACACAAGCUGAUGGAACCAUCAACUUGCUUCAGAUGGUGCAAGGACAUACACAUGGGCAUCAGAUACUGGACAUGUGACAGGAGAGAGACAUUUGCUUUUGAAAGUUAAAAAAACACAGAGUUUUGUUUUCAUCAUUUUGGAUCAUAUUAUCUGUAACACAAAAGAACUUCACAAAGCAAAUUAAAAUCUGAUGCCCAAAUUUUGCAUAUAUCUACAGAAAUGUUUUACUUGAAUUUCCAAAUAACUAAUAGAUAUUUGAGUGCUGUUUUUUUCUUAAAUGGUUUCUUUAGAGCAGUAUCUUAAUCAGUAGUCUCUUGGCUCCUUACUAUUUUUUUUUUUUUACAAUAUUCCUAGUGUAUUUGGAAAAUAUUUUUUAAAGCUUUGGUGUGAAGCAGUGUCUUUUUUUUUUUCGAUUUUCCCCUAUUUUUCCUUUUUUCUUUCCUUUUUUCUUUUUUAAUAAUUCUGGAGUCUUUGGUUGAAAGGAACAAUACUAUCUAAGGAUAAAAUGCUAUUAUUAAAAAAAAGUCUUCUAGUAUGUAUUGUGUGUAACAAAUUUCUGGAGCAAGUAUGAAUAAUAAGCACUUCUAUUUCUGUAGUGUCAUCAAUAUAAACUUUUACUCUUUGAAAACUGAAAUUUAAGUUACAGCCUUUGGUUUCUUGAACUCUGACAUAUAAAAAACCCCAUCAAGUUAUCAAUGAUCAUUUCUGCUUUUCCAACUUGCCGUUUCUAAGGCUGUCUCUUGGUUGUUACAUUGACUACACUAACAUUACAGCGUUUCGCAUGGAGAGGGCGAGAGUGGGAGUGAGUGAGUGGGCAGGUGAAAGAGUGUGUGUGUUUGAAUGUGUGUAUGUAUGUGCGUGUGUAUGUGGAUAUGUGUGUGAGUGUGUGAUAGCAAAUUGAAAUUGAAACCCUUCUGUCUGGGAUCCCAAACCAUUUACGCAAAAGGGUGUUUAAAUUACUCUGCUGGGGCACUGCAGUAAGUGUACUUAGUAAAAAAUAAAUAAAAUUAAGAAAGAGAAAACUAAACAAUUUGUAUCUAUCGACUAUUCAUUUACAGCAUGUUGAAUUAUUUACAUCAUAUUAUAACACAUUAACUUAAGCCAUAAACAGAAUUAGCACGUUGCCUUACCAUAAAAUACAAAUUAGAAGUUAAAAAUAUUUAAGAAAUCUGUUUUAAUAUUUACACACGCUCAGUGAAAGUUAUGGUUGCUCACAUUACAUGUAUUCUGUACACUUAGCAAAAUGGCAUGAUCG